UACGUAGGCAGCGAGCGUUGUUCGGAAUUACUGGGCGUAAAGAGUGUGUAGGCGGUGCUCCAAGUCUGUUGUGAAAUCUCCCGGCUUAACUGGGAGGGUGCGGCGGAAACUAGAGUGCUAGAGGGUGGGAGAGGUAAGCGGAAUUCCUGGUGUAGCGGUGAAAUUCGUAGAUAUUGGGAAGAACACCGGUGGCGAAGGCGGCGACCUGUCCUGACUGACGCUGAGGACGAAAGCUAGGGGAGCAAACAAGGAUUGAGAAACCU
rnacentral:rRNA from 1 species